AAAAUGCUACCUAUAAACAUGCUUUCUUAUCGUCUUCCUCUGGCUUGACUUUUCAAACGAGGCCUCUUGCAAUUGUUGCUGUCUUUCUAUAACUUUAGAUUGAUGUUUCUGGACUGUUGCAUUGGGACAGGAUUUGAAUUUUGGACUUUACGAAACAUUUGGAUGGGAAAUACCAGGAUACAUUCUUUUCAAUGUUGAGGAAUUGGUUCAAAUGCACCUAUUUUGGUCAAAUCUGGCAAGUUACCAGAAGAUCUACCAACCAAUCGUUCCUCGAAAGCGUCCUCUAUAAAACCCAGCAAAAGUGUGAGAAAAAAGAAAAGGAGAAGGGAUUUGAAGAUGCAGAAUGAGUCAACGUAAUGGUGGUCAGAAGUUGGAGCUGCACAAUUCAGUAUGAGAGGUGGGCUGUUUCUUUAUUUGCAAUCUGUAUCCAGAAUUGCAAUAAUAUUGGUGUAUAUAUAUUUUAGUCAACAAUGUGAAAGUCUAUAGGCUGUACUAUGUGACAUAAGGCUUGGAAAUCUUCAGUAGCAUGAGAUGUGAUUGUUUUCUUUUGGGAUUUACUGCUGCCAAUAUAUGUUAGUUCAUAAUGGUUUACAUAGAGUUGAUUUUGUAGUUACUGUUAAGUAUGGGAUUGUAGAUCCAAGUACCACAUCAAUUAUGGGAUAUGUUUAUGACAGAAACUCACAGGAGAUCCCAUGGGGUCAGUUUGGCGCCGAUAUUGUUGAGGAGUUUACUGGAGUAUUCACUGACAAGGACACCUAAUUUGAUUCACACUACAUGUUUUUCAUGCUGUGAAGUGUUAACUGUAUCUUCUCUACUACUACUUCUUGCUUAUCACUAAGAGAUUUAUGAGAUUGUUAUUUAUAUUACUGGCUUGCAAUUGAGCUACUUGAAUUGGAUGUUUGAUUUGUUUCAGACUUUGUUCAAAACUCUUGCAAUAUCAUUCUCGACGAUGACACUCUUCACCGGAAUCACUCCUUUGUAUGGUUCUAGCCUUGUAUAUGCAAGUCCUACAAGCCUUGUGUGGGGUUGGGUGGUAGCAUCAUUUUUCACCUGGUUUGUUGGACUUGCCAUGGUAGGGAUCUGCUCUUCUUUCCCGAUUGCAAGAAUUAUAUAGAACAAUGGCUGUUUUCUCUUCAAAACUUUGAUGUCUCAAUUAGCUGAUAUCUCUGGAGGAUUAUCCGCUUGAAGAAUCAUAGCUGUUACAUAAUUGGCUAAAUUAAAACUUUUGUUAUACUUAGUCACUCUAGAUUAGUAUAGUUGCUCCAAAUAGUAGUUUUUUUGCCUUAUGAGUUUAUUAAGCUGAUACUCAUUAGGUUUAUGUAUGAAACAAUUAUGGAUGUAUGUUUUGACUGUA